rnacentral:tRNA from 1 species
CCGCCCAUAGCUCAGCUGGUAGAGCAGAUCGCUCUUAACGAUAAGGUCCCAGGUUCGAUCCCUGGUGGGCGGA